rnacentral:rRNA from 1 species
AGUGAACGCUGGCGGUAGGCCUAACACAUGCAAGUCGAACGGCAGCACAGUAAGAGCUUGCUCUUACGGGUGGCGAGUGGCGGACGGGUGAGGAAUACAUCGGAAUCUACUUUUUCGUGGGGGAUAACGUAGGGAAACUUACGCUAAUACCGCAUACGACCUACGGGUGAAAGCAGGGGAUCUUCGGACCUUGCGCGAUUGAAUGAGCCGAUGUCGGAUUAGCUAGUUGGCGGGGUAAAGGCCCACCUAGGCGACGAUCCGUAGCUGGUCUGAGAGGAUGAUCAGCCACACUGAAACUGAGACACGGUACAGACUCCUACGGGAGGCAGAAGUGGGGAAAAUUGGACAAUGGGCGCAAGCCUGAUCCAGCCAUACCGCGUGGGUGAAGAAGGCCUUCGGGUUGUAAAGCCCUUUUGUUGGGAAAGAAAAGCAGCAGGUUAAUACCCCGCUGUUCUGACGGUACCCAAAGAAUAAGCACCGGCUAACUGCGU